CCAGUCGGCCGGGCAGCCGCGCUUCAUCAAUGCCGAAAGGCGAUGGGGUGAGGAAAGUCCGGGCUCCACGGAAACACGGUGCCGGAUAACGUCCGGCGAGGGCGACCUCAGGGAAAGUGCCACAGAGAGAAGACCGCCCCGCCUUCUGUCCUGCUCACCGAGAGCGGGAGAGGCGGCGGGGUAAGGGUGAAAGGGUGGGGUAAGAGCCCACCGCGGACCUGGCAACAGGACCGGCAUGGUAAACCCCACCGGGAGCAAGACCGAAUAGGGAUGAUGCGGGCCGCGCGCAAGCGGGGCUACAGCCUGUUUCCGGGCCAGUCAUCCGGGUGGGUUGCGAGAGGCAGUGCGCAAGCGCUGUCCCAGAGGAAUGGCUGCCACGUUCCGGGAAACCGGGGCCAUACAGAACCCGGCUUACAGGCCGACUGGCGUU
rnacentral:RNase_P_RNA from 2 species